rnacentral:lncRNA from 1 species
AAGGCAGAGUGGGUGCCUGGGAAUUGAGCCUCGGUGGUUGGGGGUCAGGGGUGGGGUUGGAAAGCUAGUGAGGAAGGUGGACCACAGUACUGUGUAGAUGCCUGGGCAGGGGCUGCCUGGGAACCUCCUCUGAGGGUCUUGCCUGGGGACUCAAACCAGGAUUCUAUAGACAACGUCUUCAUGUGGCAAGUUAUUUUUGCUGUGAACCCACGUGGUCGCGCCUGGUAAUUAUAGGGUAAAAGGAAUUAAGCAAGACAUAAUUUCUCCCCAUCAAACCUGACUGUUUUACAUCUCCACCUCGCACCGGCAGGCAGGCUUUCUCCCUUCACAGGUGCCACUUUGAUUUCAGUCACGUUGGAAAGGAAUUUGAAACAUCUUCAAAGUGAUUAAAGAGAGGAAGUGAUUGCAAAUGUGGGCUAAAUGCAAUAAUCACAUUAACUGUUUAUGGCCAUGGAGCUUUCAGGAGGGAAGGCCUUGUGAGAACAGUGGUGGCAGAGCUGGCGACGGCACUGCAGGUGCAGGUGGAGGAUGGCUCAGGUGCAGAUAGUCCCAUCCCAAUUUAAAACCACUCAGCCUCAGCUUCACUGUGUGGGGUUCAUGGUUCACGUCUGCUCCCUAUGGCAUCCCAAGGGGACUCCUUCAUGUUCAGGGAAUUUGACCUUGAGUCUAGACCUGGGACUGAGUGGGUGAAACCCUGGCUAAUUAUUCACCAAAGACUCCGAGACAUAAGGGUACUCCUGUGACUCCCUCCCUCCAU